CCUAAUAUGCACAGGGACCUUGUAUUUUCACUCUGAAUCACAGAGAACAUCAAUUGGAACAUCAACAAUGAAAACCCACUCUUGAUAUGGUGCUUCCACAUUCACAUUCAGAAACUCUAAGAAGACAUGUGAGAUGGAAUUAUAGCUGAGUUAGAGAUCAUGAGAUUGAGUUCCUGGAACACUUGAUGCAUUGGACAAGAUAGUCUCUUUGCAACUUAAGUUGCAAAGAAGAUAAAAAGAGAAGGGAAGGGAAGGCAAGUAGCGGCAGCGUUGGAAAAGAGAGAAACUUAAUUAGACUUUCUCCUGCUAAGUGAGAUAGGUACUUUCAGACAACGAGAGUUAUUGUGAGAAAGGUUUGAUUCAAAACUAAGUAAAUUUACAGGUGGACCCCACAAGCUCAGGCUGAUCACGGGGGCAAGACAGCACCCCAAGGAAGAAGAUAAGGAAAAGUCAGCCAACCUGCACACAAUGAUGAAGAACCUGACCUCUUGCCUUAAUAAUUCACUGAGACUCUUACUCCUUUUUUCCCUUAAAAAAUUGUUGCAUUUGAGCAGAAUCCUUGGAACUGGUCUCUGGACGUGAGUCCACCUUCUCCCCAGAUUGCCAGCUCUUCUGCAUAAAGCACAUUUCUUCUGCCAAAGCUUGCCCCCUGAUUUAUCGGCUGUUGAGCAGCAAACAGCCAAACCUGUGUUUGGUUACACCAGCUGUUAGCUUCACGUUCUUCUCUGUGAUCACGAUUCUGUGUGCAUUUGGACUCUGGUCCUGAUGGCUUCAGAUGUGACUGCUUUGCAGAGACGGCCCAACCUGUGAAAGUUUUCCAUCAUAUCAAGUUGAUGUUUUUAUGACCGUGACUUAAUGUUUUUGUGCAAAGAAGUUACCUAUUUAUAAUGGAAAACAAGGAGAAACAGAUUUUAUUGUGGUUGGGGAAAUGCUCCCUGGAAGAGGGGCCUUCUGCCAGCACAGACCAACCAGGAGCCAGGCAGUUUUAAACCUGACAACACCAUGGAAUAAACGUCCCGGAUGGCCGGCUGUAGGAGAACACUCUCACUGCCCGCCCCCUCGGUACACCCGCCCUUCCAGGAGUACGCUGGAGGAGGCAUGCAGAUAGAAAAAGAAGGAGAGAGAAUUAUGGUUUUAUUUUUCCCUUUUUCUUUGAAAAAAAAAAAAAAUACACACCAUCCUUGAUUUGUGGGAAAAUUUAUAGACAUAACAAUGUUUUAUGCCCGAUUUUAAGAGCAUUUUAAACACCUUUUGCCAAUAGCAAAAAUGUUGUUAUUGCUGUUUAGUUUCUAAGUCAUGCACGCCUCUUUUCCACUUCAUGCACUGUAGCCUGCUGGGCUCCUCUGUCCAUAGGAUUUCCUAGGCAAGAAUACUGGAG